UGAAUACGAGACGCUAAGGCGUCGAAGUAGUGUAUGUCAUACUUCCAAGAAAAGCUUGCACUGUCAUAGAUAAAAAACGCCUGUACCAUAACCGACACAGGUGGGUAGGUAGAGUAUACUAAGGGGCGCGAGAUAACUCUCUCUAAGGAACUCGGCAAAAUAACUCCGUAACUUCGGGAGAAGGAGUGCCUUAUUCGUAAGGUUGCAAUAACAAGAUCCAAGCAACUGUUUAUCAAAAACACAGGUCUCCGCUAAGUCGUAAGACGAUGUAUGGGGGCUGACGCCUGCCCAGUGCCAGAAGGUUAAAGAAGUUGGUUAGCAAUUGCGAAGCUGAUAACUGAAGCCCUGGUGAACGGCGGCCGUAACGAUAACGGUCCUAAGGUAGCGAAAUUCCUUGUCGGGUAAGUUCCGACCCGCACGAAAGGCGUAAUGAUUUGGAUACUGUCUCGGAGAGGGGCUCGGUGAAAUAGACUUGUCUGUGAAGAUGCGGACUACCUGCACCAGGACAGAAAGACCCUAUGAAGCUUUACUGUAACUUGAAAUUGAAAUUGGACUUUAUUCGCGCAGUAUAGGUGGGAGGCGUUGAUUAUAAUCUUGUGGGAUUAUUGGAGCCAUCAGUGAGAUACCACUCUUGUAAUGUUAGAUUUCUAACUUUGAAUCAUUAUCUGGUCAAAGAACAGUUUCAGGCGGGCAGUUUGACUGGGGCGGUCGCCUCCUAAACGGUAACGGAGGCGUACAAAGGUUUCCUCUGAACGGUUAGAAAUCGUAUCUAGAGUGUAAAGGCAUAAGGAAGCUUGACUGUGAGACCUACAAGUCGAGCAGGGACGAAAGUCGGUCUUAGUGAUCUGACGGUACUGAGUGGAAAGGCCGUCACUCAACGGAUAAAAGUUACUCUAGGAUAACAGGCUGAUCUCCCCCAAGAGUUCACAUCGACGGGGAGGUUUGGCACCUUGAUGUCGGCUCAUCGCAUCCUGGGGCGGUAGUACGUCCCAAGGGUUGGGCUGUUCGCCCAUGAAAGCGGUACGCGAGCUGGGUUCAGAACGUCGUGAGACAGUUCGGUCCAUAUCCGGUGUAGGCGUUAGAAUAUUGAGAGGAGCCUUCUUUAGUACGAGAGGACCGAGAAGGACAUACCUCUGGUGUACCAGUUAUCGUGCCAACGGUAAACGCUGGGUAGCUAUGUAUGGAGUGGAUAACCGCUGAAAGCAUCUAAGUGGGAAGCCCACCUCAAGAUAAGUAUUCUCAUC
rnacentral:rRNA from 1 species